rnacentral:rRNA from 1 species
AUUGAACGCUGGCGGCAGGCCUAACACAUGCAAGUCGAGCGGAUGAAGGUAGCUUGCUAUCUGAUUCAGCGGCGGACGGGUGAGUAAUGCCUAGGAAUCUGCCUGGUAGUGGGGGACAACGUUUCGAAAGGAACGCUAAUACCGCAUACGUCCUACGGGAGAAAGUGGGGGAUCUUCGGACCUCACGCUAUCAGAUGAGCCUAGGUACGAUUAGCUAGUUGGUGAGGUAAAGGCUCACCAAGGCGACGAUGGUUAACUGGUCUGAGAGGAUGAUCAGUCACACUGGAACUGAGACACGGUCCAGACUCCUACGGGAGGCAGCAGUGGGGAAUAUUGGACAAUGGGCGAAAGCCUGAUCCAGCCAUGCCGCGUGUGUGAAGAAGGUCUUCGGAUUGUAAAGCACUUUAAGUUGGGAGGAAGGGCAGUAAGUUAAUACCUUGCUGUUUUGACGUUACCAACAGAAUAAGCACCGGCUAACUUCGUGCCAGCCGCCGCCGUAACAC